rnacentral:rRNA from 1 species
GACGAACGCUGGCGGCGCGCUUAACACAUGCAAGUCGAACGGAAAGGCCUGCUUUCCCUUGUGGAUUGCGGGUACUCGAGUGGUGAACGGGUGAGUAACACGUGAGUGAUCUGCCCCCAACUUGGGUAUAAGCCUGGGAAACUGGGUCUAAUUCCCGAUAGGACUGCAGGGUGGUGCCUGUGGUGGAAAACGAUUUUCUAGUGGUUGGGGAUGAGCUCGCGGCCUAUCAGCUUGUUGGUGGGGUAAUGGCCUACCAAGGCGGCGACGGGUAGCCGGCCUGAGAGGGUGGACGGCCACAUUGGGACUGAGAUACGGCCCAGACUCCUACGGGAGGCAGCAGUGGGGAAUAUUGCACAAGGGGCGGAAGCCUGAUGCAGCGACGCCGCGUGGGGGAUGACGGCCUUCGGGUUGUAAACUCCUUUCGACCGCGAGGAAGCCACCUGGUUGGAAGGGUGGUGACGGUAGUGGUAGAAGAAGCACCGGCUAACUACGUG